rnacentral:rRNA from 1 species
GGUGGUUAUUUAAGUCAGAUGUGAAAUCCCUGGGCUUAACCUAGGAAUUGCAUUUGAAACUAGAUGGCUAGAGUAUGGUAGAGGGAAGUGGAAUUUCCGGUGUAGCGGUGAAAUGCGUAGAUAUCGGAAGGAACACCAGUGGCGAAGGCGACUUCCUGGACCAUUACUGACACUGAGGCGCGAAAGCGUGGGGAGCGAACAGGAUUAGAUACCCUGGUAGUCCACGCCGUAAACGAUGAUAACUAGAUGUUAGGGGGCUUAGACCUUUUAGUAUCGCAGCAAACGCGUUAAGUUAUCCGCCUGGGGAGUACGGCCGCAAGGUUAAAACUCAAAGGAAUUGACGGGGGCCCGCACAAGCGGUGGAGCAUGUGGUUUAAUUCGAUGCAACGCGAAGAACCUUACCUACCUUUGAAUCCACGGAAUCUUGCAGAGAUGUGAGAGUGCCUUCGGGAACCGUGAGACAGGUGCUGCAUGGCUGUCGUCAGCUCGUGUCGUGAGAUGCUGGGUUAAGUCCCGCAACGAGCGCAACCCUCAUCUUCAGUUGCCCCCGGGUAAGGCCGGGCACUCUGAAGAAACCGCCGGUGACAAGCCGGAGGAAGGCGGGGAUGGCGUCAAGUCCUCAUGGCCCUUACAGGCUGGGCUACACACGUACUACAAUGGUGGUGACAAUGGGCAGCGAAAGCGCGAGCUGGAGCUAAUCCCCAAAAACCAUCUCAGUUCAGAUUGCACUCUGCAACUCGGGUGCAUGAAGUUGGAAUCGCUAGUA